rnacentral:rRNA from 1 species
CCAAUAGCGUAUAUUAAAGUUGCUGCAGUUAAAAAGCUCGUAGUUGAAUUUCGGGACUAAUAUGUCGGUCGUGCCUCGGUACGUACUGGCUUAUUGGUUUCUCCUUUCUGAAGAACCAUGAUGUCAUUUAUUUGGUGUCGUGGGGAAUCAGGACUGUUACUUUGAAAAAAUUAGAGUGUUUAAAGCAGGCAUUAGCUUGAAUACAUUAGCAUGGAAUAAUGAAAUAGGACGUUCGAUCCUAUUUUGUUGGUUUCUAGGAUCAACGUAAUGAUUAAUAGGGAUAGUUGGGGGCAUUAGUAUUCAAUUGUCAGAGGUGAAAUUCUUGGAUUUAUUGAAGACUAACUACUGCGAAAGCAUUUGCCAAGGAUGUUUUCAUUAAUCAAGAACGAAAGUUAGGGGAUCGAAGACGAUCAGAUACCGUCGUAGUCUUAACCAUAAACUAUGCCGACUAGGGAUCGGAUGAUGUUAAUUUUUUAAUGACUCAUUCGGCGCCUUACG